UGUAGAGUGGUACAAUAGAAAGAGCACUGAUCCUGAAAUCUGAGGUUGUGGGUUCAAAACCCAUCUCUACCA
rnacentral:tRNA from 1 species